rnacentral:rRNA from 1 species
AUGUGCAGCCACACCACCCUGAGAACGCCUCGUCUCAUCUGAUCCGGGAAGCUAAGCAGGGUUGGGCCCGAUCAGUACUUGGAUGGGAGACCUUGUGGCCAGGAAGCCAAUGGGACCUGUUAGGG